GGUCCUAUAGUCUAGCGGUUAGGACAUUGGAUUCUGAUCAUUAUGAUAAUUCCAGUAGCCCCGGUUCGAUUCCGGUUAGGACCU
rnacentral:tRNA from 1 species